rnacentral:lncRNA from 1 species
UAUCUUGAAUUAGGGUAUUGCCUAUAUCCUCUAAGAAACAACAUUUCCCUGUAGUGGAGGCACUUCCAGUUCAAGCUUGAUAACUCCAGGAUGUCAGUUGUUGUGGAGUUUCAGUCACACGCAUCCUACUGCUGUACCUCAGAAUAACUUGGCAUUCAAAUGAACUAGUUUUCACUGAAACCAGCACUGGGAGUAAGAAGUGGGCAUCAGUAUUCUUGAGACAUCUAUCAAUGUCUACAGCAAGAUCCCAUCUGAUAAAGAAAUAGGUUUAUUCUGUGAGCAGAAAGGAAGACAACACUCCUGAUCCUCCUCCUCUUCAUAUACCAGCAAGAUUUCAGGGUGGCAAUCUUUGAUGAGAUUCUGAAACAUCAAACCAGGAAACGAUGGGAAUAAGCUGAUUUCUUCCUGAGAUAACACUGAGAGCAUCACUGCAUGUCUGAGGGAGAACAGAAAACGAGUGAGAAAGAUCACAAGUCACUCAGAAUUGGAUAUCCUCAUCGCCGAGGCUGUCAGACACACCACGUCCUGUCCCUGCUGGCUGCACAGCAACACAUCUGCAUGGAUGGGGAGAUGGAAACCCAAUGUGUAUCAUCUCCUCUGAGCCUGCUCGAGUUGCUCUUCAGUGCUUCAAGGGGGAAGAAAGACCAGAAAAAUAAUAAGGCUUUGUAUGAGUGGCAGACAAGGACAAAACAACGAGUAAAACCAUGUAGGAGAAUUCAGCACACAUUUGAUAUUGAACAGAAAGGGUCUCCAUGUGGACUCCUGAGCAGGUAUGCAUUUUGUUUUCGUGCCCUACCUGGUGCUGGUUGCAAUGCAGAAGGUGUGUCCCGAUGCAGGGCUGGAUUACAUCCCACGCAGGAUCCCCAGAGACGUGCCAGUUUUCCCAUGACGUGCCCUGCAGAGAUUUGCAAUGAGCGAAGCUGA